rnacentral:rRNA from 1 species
AUUGAACGCUGGCGGCAGGCCUAACACAUGCAAGUCGAGCGGAUGAAGGGAGCUUGCUCCUGGAUUCAGCGGCGGACGGGUGAGUAAUGCCUAGGAAUCUGCCUGGUAGUGGGGGAUAACGUCCGGAAACGGGCGCUAAUACCGCAUACGUCCUGAGGGAGAAAGUGGGGGAUCUUCGGACCUCACGCUAUCAGAUGAGCCUAGGUCGGAUUAGCUAGUUGGUGGGGUAAAGGCCUACCAAGGCGACGAUCCGUAACUGGUCUGAGAGGAUGAUCAGUCACACUGGAACUGAGACACGGUCCAGACUCCUACGGGAGGCAGCAGUGGGGAAUAUUGGACAAUGGGCGAAAGCCUGAUCCAGCCAUGCCGCGUGUGUGAAGAAGGUCUUCGGAUUGUAAAGCACUUUAAGUUGGGAGGAAGGGCAGUAAGUUAAUACCUUGCUGUUUCGACGUUACCAACAGAAUAAGCACCGGCUAACUUCG